AGGUCUGUUGCAAGCUAUUUUCUGUCAACAUUCCCCGCCCCAUGCUGGUUGUGAAACACUGGAUUGCAUCACGGAUCUCCCUACAUUGUUAACAGUUCUGACGGGAGAGGUGCUGUUAUGAUCAGGUUUCACAUCCUAUUUAAUAAUGAACUGUGGAUGAUACCAAAGAAGGCUGCAGAACCACAGUUGCAGCAUAGUCCUUUCUGGUACAAACCGACUACAGUGCUUCUCUCAUUUGGUGCAGAGGAAUGGGUCAGGAGACUUGAGAGAACCAGGUACAAGACUUGCAGAGAGCAUCGAGGGCCUGAGAACAUGCUGUCUUUUGGGGCUCUACCUUUAUCCUUUGACCCUGGGAAAGAACAGCUUGUGAAGGACAGAUAGAAACCAGGGCACACAGAGAAAUCAAUGAGGGAACAGGUGCCACGUCAGCAGCUUCAUAUAGGCGUUUUUGCUGAGGUGCAAUCAGCACAGAGGGAAGUGGCCUCACCUUCCUACCCUACAGGACCAGCUGGAGAGAUUAUGAAACACAAGGACUCUGUGCUCUGUUCUUGUGUUUGUGGCUGAAAUGCCGUAAUAAGGCAUUGGAAAAAGAAAUGAAGUGAAAAAUUAUCAUAAGCAUCCACAUUUUCCUCCUGAGGACUUCCACUGCAGCACUCCUAGAGAAAACUACUCUCUGGCAAGUGUGGAAAAUACAGAAUAAUAAAUGGAGAAGUUGUUUAU